CCUUCCCUUAUGGAGUAUUUCCUCUGAACCCAUGUCUCUGGAUCUAGGUGUAGCUUCAGAUUUGAAUAUCCUGAGGCUCUUCCGUUCUGGAUCCUGGCUUCAGUUCUGAGGCUGAGGUUGGUGUUGGCGUACAAAGGAUCUGCAGUGAGCACACAGCUGCACAGAGACUGCUUUAUUCAAAAUGAGUAACAAUCCACAAUACUGAGCUGAAGACAGGAACACAAUGAAAUG